CGAUUAUUUCAGCAUAGUUUUGUUUAAAACCCCACCAUUUCAGCUUUCUGUUGGUGUCUCUCCCCUCCUGCCCACCCGUUACCAGAGGGACAGAAGCUGCUCCGGGACUUCGGACUCGAGUGAAAGGUUUCUCUGAUAUUUAGGCAAAGGAUAGUCCUGCAGUUAAAGAACAGAAGUGUGAGGCGUGACAUCUGUUCCUGGCCAGUACUUCCUAUGGAAAAUAAAGCAGACAGAAAACAAGCAGGGUCCCUCCCCACCGGUGACUCCAGAGAGUAUCACAUCCAAUAGCUAAAACCUGCCUUUGCUGGGCGGUCAUACGGAGCUGCGUAGAUUGGAUUAUGAAGAUUCAUUUGAGAUUGACAAUCAGCCCAUCUUACAUCAGCAUGUUUGCUGUCAAGCGACUGUCACUGGACACCCUUCUCUAGAGGGCAUCCCUGUGUGGGGAAAAAGACGAUUCUUAGGGAAAAAAAAAAGUCAAGAGUGCAGCAACAGCCCAGAGAUAUCCAGCGUGGUGAUUUACCUGAAAUAGCGCAGAACAUAUAUGAGAGCAAGCUAAGGGAAGUUAUCCCACCUCUUCUCAAAAUGGCCAGGUUCUGCUCAUCUCCUCUUGGGAUAUUCUCGAGUUGUUUGAAGGCUUUCAGUCCCGGGAAUGCCGAGAUGCUGGGCUUUGCUGGCAGUCAGGAGGCAGGGAAUGGCCCCAUGUCCCUCCCUUGAGACCAUGACGCUGAUUUAACACCACCUUCGUCGGCCAGGCCCUGUGGAAGCUUCUCACAAAGGCUCAGCUCUGCUUUUGCACUGUGGUUGGGGCUGUUUUCAUUUCCUGCCAGCGCACUUCACUGUUUUAAGCAAGACUUUUAUUUAGGAAGGAACUGUCUUCACUUCCUAGGCUUCUUCUCGUUAAGGUGUGUAAAAUUUAACUUAGUAGACAGCUACCUAGGUCUUGAGUUUCAGAGCAGGAUUUACUCAUGAGCACGUAUGGUCUGCCAUGUAAAUUUAUAGUUUGUAAUUCACAAUAGGUAUCUUGUGCUCUGUAUAACUAACUAACUUUCUUCUGUUUUCCAGCUUUUUGAAUUGAUUAUUCAUAAAGUCUCAUGGUGCGUUAGUCUUAGGGAAUCUAGGAAUAGCUCUCUCUGGAACGUAGUUUAUCUUAACAUUUUUACAUAAAUGCGUCUCUGGUAUGAAUGCAGAAAGGGCUUCCAUUCAACAUUGGACCCUUUAAAAUAUGUUUGCCAGCGGACGGACUUCUUAGAAGACCUUCCUUCUCACAGUGAAUACAUUCAGUCCUGCUCAACUUGAAAACCGUUUGGAAUCACGGUUAGAUGUGUGUAGGGACACAGGUGCAGAAGGUCGGUGGAGAUGUGCUAGUGCAGAGCACAUAAAGGACAGACAGGAGCCAUCCAUUGCACAACACACCUGGCUUGGGGAGAAGUAGGGCUUCUUAUCCCAAGUCACAGGCGACAGGACGAGAGGAAAUGGCCUCAAGUUGCGCCAGGGGAGGUUCAGGCUGGAUAUUAGGAAAA